CGAUGAGAGAAGAGAAGGCAAAGGGUAAUGUGAAAUCAGAGAAACAGGACACAUCAUCCGAGCUCAAGUACAGUCACGGCAAUGGUAAUGAGAUGUUCUCAAACGUUCUCGUGGACUGUAUAAUCUCGGAAAUCCCAGACCUGACGGACAGUGUUGAUCAUAUGGGAGGCAGGCAACUUCGCGUGAUUAAAGGACAAACCAUUCCUCCCCAUAGCAACUAUGCAAAUAAGUAAUUCCAGAACCAACAACUCCCCCCCCCCCAAAAAAAAACAAGCUCAAUCAAUCACUCAGAAGAUUUACAUUGACAGAAUUUUUACUUUCGUCAUUGACUUAGCGGUCUUAUUUGCCAUUGAGUGAAAACUGAGCAGCAAAACAUGCUUCAAACAGACUCGGAGUUCACUAAAACGCGAUGGAUCUGUACCGUCAUCGGACUGGGCUUUUACCUGGUGGACAUUGUGACAGAUGUUGGACUAGCAGUGAAUUACUUCCUGGUCGGAGACCUGGUCUGGGCUGGACUGACUCUGCUCUCUGUGGCGGUCGCAUCGGCAGCCACACAGGUCUUCAGCUACACCUGGUACAGAGAUGACAUGAGAAAACCCCUUGUUAACCCAGGUGGAGAUGGGCUGAUAUGUGAGAUGAAUAGAGGAGGACUGAUUGGACUCCAUGUCAUGCAGACAGGCAUCUUCACCAGGUACUACGACCUGUUAAAGGUGGGAUACAGGGCUAUGUUUUCCAAGCCUCUUGGGCCUGUUGAAUGCCCCAGAGAUGUGCACCUGGCCCUGUUUGGCCGAGCGACUGAUCUGAGCAUGCUCAAACUGUUUGAGACGUUCCUUGAGAGCGUUCCACAGCUAGUCCUCCAACUCUACAUUAUGCUGGGCCACGGACACAGGUCCAUACUACAAUGCAUCUGCAUGGUGGGCUCAUUCAUCAACAUCGCCUGGGCUAUAGUGGACUACCGCCGGUGUCUCCGUCGAUCCUUACCCCAGGUCCGAGAGAUGCCUUCUGGCCUCCCUACCUUUGUCUACCUCCUAUACAAGCUGUUGACCAUCACCGCUCACAUCCUCAGCCUCAGCCUCUUCCUCGUCCUCAGCCCCUACAGUACCCUGGGAAUGGCUGUCGUCUGGCUGGCUGGAACCCUCUGGGCCCAUUGGGUCCGUACUGAUUUCUGCAUGUCUAAAGGUCUAGAGAGGCUCUAUCGGAUCAUCGUGGGAGUCGUCCUCAUAUUCACCUUCUUUAACGUGAAAGGACAGGAUACCAGAUGGCCGAUGGCUGUGUACUACGUUCUCUUUGCGUUAGUGAACCUCUCUGGUCCUUUGCUGCUGGUUCUGGUGAGGCCAGAGGUUAACGCUGCUGAGUACUUCUGGCCGGUGACACUGCUGAUAUUUGGAGGGACCGUUCUAGGGCUGGUCUGUCUGCUCCUGUAUUAUACUGUCUGCCACCCCAGAGGGAGGAGUCUACAGGCAGAUGAGCUGGAUGGACACAUGCGACAGGAGAGAGAAACAGAGACGCCAGGCAACAUGGUGAGAGGUAGGAACUUCCUACAGCUCUGAGCCUCGUUUCCUGCACCACUCUGAAAGACCUGAAUGACCUGAAUGACCUGAAUGACCUGAAUGACCUGAAUGACCUGAAUGACCUGAAUGACCUGAAUGACCUGAAUGACCUGAAUGACCUGAAUGACCUGAAUGACCUGAACAGUUAAAAAGGAGUCUGAUGUUUGACCUUUCAGGUCUGGUCCCUUCAGCUGAGAUGAAGGAGAGGACAUAAGGGAGUCACUUCACGCUAGUGAAACACAGCCCCUAUCUGUGGAUUCAGGAUGUGCAAUGCAAAACAGAGAACACAAGGUGGCACUGUUGUCUCUCUUUACAGGCUAUGGCCAUCUAGCAUUUUAGAGUAAAGUGAAGAAGAAAGACGUUGCUAUGGACGUUGCCGUUGCUAUGAUGACGUUACUAUGGACAUUCUCUUUGAUAUGUUAAAGACUCUUUUACUGACCUGCCAAUAACUGAAAUAUGUUUAAUUUAUUUUAAUCUCUGACACACUUUCCACUGUUUCUGAUAGUUUAACUGUCUUUUAACCUCUUAUAAGUAUUCUGAUGUUCUGUGUAAUAUUUACUAUCUGUGAAUGCACUUUAAAACUUUAAAAUAUAAUAUAUUUAAUAAAUAAAAAUGUAGCAUAA